CUGGGGCGCAUGCGCCGGACACCCAGCGCGUCCCGCCAGCUCCCUGCUCUCCGGGUGUCCCCCAAAGCCUUGGCUAGGUUUUUGGAAACCUUUAUCAAUACACCCAGCAACUAAUCCCCUCCUCCAGCAGGCGGAGCAGAGGAUUUCUAUUCUUUCAGCCCCAGGCCAGCUGAUUUCACUCUGGAAAGGCAAUUUAGAGCACUGGUCUAUCAGUACUGCUCCUACUUCGAUGCAAAGAUGAUUUUUCCUGAAGCCAGAACUACCUUCAAGCUGACUUCUUUCUACCACACUCCUCCUUGCUGGUAUGAGAGAACAGGAGGGCUGUACAUGCUGGUGUUUGAGGUUAGGAAACUGAGAACCAGAAAGACAAAAAGAUUUUCCUGAGCGCAUAUACUGUCAUUCUCCACAUCAUAGCAGCAAAUACUGUCAUUCUCCUCAUCAUAGCAGGAAACCUAAUGCUUGCCUGGUACCAACCACUGACUUGGGUGCUUUACGUGUAUUAUUGGUAACCUAUGUCAUCUUCAUGGUAACUAUUAUCCCCAUCUUACAGAUGAAGAAACAGAGGUGUGGAGAGAUCACACAGCUGAAGUGGCUGGGGUCUGAAUCUCAGCAGCGUGACUCCAGAGUAAUCAUGACCACUAUGUUCUCCACAUACACAUUUAAGGAAUAAAGCUGGGCUCAGACAAUGA